rnacentral:rRNA from 1 species
AGAUGAGUCCGCGUCCCAUUAGCUAGUUGGUGGGGUAACGGCCUACCAAGGCAACGAUGGGUAGCCGAUCUGAGAGGAUGAUCGGCCACACUGGAACUGAAACACGGUCCAGACUCCUACGGGAGGCAGCAGUGAGGAAUAUUGCGCAAUGGGGGGAACCCUGACCCAGCAACGCCGCGUGGAGGAAGAAGGUUUUCGGAUCGUAAACUCCUGUCCUUGGAGACGAGUAGAAGACGGUAUCCAAGGAGGAAGCCCCGGCUAACUACGUGCCAGCAGCCGCGGUAAUACGUAGGGGGCAAGCGUUGUCCGGAAUAAUUGGGCGUAAAGGGCGCGUAGGCGGCUCGGUAAGUCUGGAGUGAAAAGUCCUUGCUUUUAAGGUGGGAAUUGCUUUGGAUACUGUCGGGCUUGAGUGCAGGAGAGGGUAAUGGAAUUCCCAGUGUAGCGGUGAAAUGGGUAGAGGAUUGGGAGGAACACCAGUGGCGAAGGGCGAACUAACUGGACUGUAACUGACCCUUAAGGCGGGAAAGUGUGGGGAGCAAACAGGAUUAGAUACCCUGGUAGUCCACACUGUAAACGAUGAAUGCUAGGUGUAGGGGGGUAUCGACCCCUUCUGUGCCGCAGUCAACACAAUAAGCAUUCCGCCUGGGGAGUACGGUCGCAAGGUUGAAACUCAAAGGAAUUGACGGGGGCCCGCACAAGCAGCGGAGCAUGUGGUUUAAUUCGAAGCAACGCGAAGAACCUUACCAGGUCUUGACAUCCAUUAAAAGCCAUAGAGAUAUGGUGUGAGCUUGCUCGUAAUGAGACAGGUGGUGCAUGGUUGUCGUCAGCUCGUGUCGUGAGAUGUUGGGUUAAGUCCCGCAACGAGCGCAACCCUUGUGAUCAGUUACUAACGGGUAGUGCCGAGGACUCUGAUAAGACUGCCGGGGACAACUCGGAGGAAGGUAGGGACGACGUCAAAUCAUCAUGCCCCUUAUGACCUGGGCUACACACGUGCUACAAUGGCCACUACAGAGAGCAGCGAAUUCGUAAGGAAGAGCAAAUCUCAAAAAAGUAGUCCCAGUUCGGAUUGUGGGCUGCAACCCGCCCACAUGAAGUCGGAGUUGCUAGUAAUCGCGGAUCAGCAUGCCGCGGUGAAUACGUUCCCGGGCCUUGCACUCACAACCCGUCA